rnacentral:misc_RNA from 1 species
CACGUCAAACUCGUGGAAGGGCAAUUCAAUUAGGUCUGCCGAGAAUUCAUACCCCUGAAUCCUCAACGGGCAACCUUUAUACACCUUAUUCACUACCACACUGUGGCCUAGUGGAUUUGUGACCAGAAUGUCUUGAUCACUCUUCUCUACUGGAACUCCCCUCUCUAUGGGUAGUUUGAUGCACAUGUAGGAAUGAGUGGAUCCUAGAUCCACCAAUGCAUGUACAGAAGUGUUGUAGAGGGAAAACGUACCCCUGAUGACAUCCGGGGCAUCUUGCUCCUCCUGA